GGAGGUAUAGUUCAGUGAUAGAGCAUGUGCUUAGCAUCAUGCACAAGGUCCUGGGUUCAAUCCCCAGUACCUCCA
rnacentral:tRNA from 1 species